rnacentral:rRNA from 1 species
UACGUAGGGCGCAAGCGUUAUCCGGAAUUAUUGGGCGUAAAGAGCUCGUAGGCGGUUUGUCGCGUCUGCCGUGAAAGUCCGGGGCUCAACUCCGGAUCUGCGGUGGGUACGGGCAGACUAGAGUGAUGUAGGGGAGACUGGAAUUCCUGGUGUAGCGGUGAAAUGCGCAGAUAUCAGGAGGAACACCGGUGGCGAAAGCGGCUCCUCGCCGGUCCGGACUGCGUGACGGCUGGCGG